GCCACAAAGAGGCUGUUCUCCCAAGCCCCGCCCCCAGAAGUGCGCAGGGAAUGCUGGCUCUUGUAGUCCUUCAGGGGGCGUGGUGCUGGUGCUUACAGUCCGGCGGCUUGUGGAAGCUGACUCCGGGGACAAGUCCCUGCAAAAUUGAAUAAGACCAGGGAAACAGACAAAGAAAAGAGAAGUUACAGCAAAAAUGAAGGGGAAAGAGAGCCUGGAAAUCUCAGAAAGCAAGCUACUAUAUUUCUGAACACUUCACUAAAAUAGCAGAAGAGGAAGCUCAGUGAAGUUGGAGUCUUCUUACCUGCCACCUUUAAGCUCUGUUCUAGAAUGAGAUCUGCAAUUUUAAGGACCGAGAAUAUGAAUUUAUUAAAGAGAACAUGAGAAAAGUUUUGGUAGCAAGGCUUUUUGUUUCCUGAGCAACAACUCCGAAGACUUAGCCAGAGGCUUAACAGAAAAGGACCCACGUCAGGGGAGGACUUUUGCUCCCAGAACAAUAAAGAAGGUAAU